UUUUUUUUUUUUUUUUUGAAAAGCAGGGUAUUAUGUUUCUGGUCUUACAACUGCAUAGACUUCAAUAUAUACAUACAGACAGGGAAGUUAAUUAACUGCGAUACGUCUUUAACUGGUUUUUUCAGGCACAAGCAUAACUGUCACAGACAGUGACUUAACAAUGCGUCAGUAAGCUGCUAUUUUACUGUAUUCACAACCGCCAGUUGCAUUAAUAUCUGCCCAUACUUCAUUAACACG
rnacentral:misc_RNA from 1 species